CAAAACUUUCACAAAUCCUGUGCAAAAUCCAUGCACGAAGGUGAAACAGAAGAGCUUGUAAAUCCCCAACUCUCUUGAGGGAGGAUAAAGCUAAAAGAAGAACUGUCUUUAGAAUCAGGAUUUUUUUUAAAAACCGUUUCCAAGGGCUCAAACAGAUGUCCUGAUAAUCCUCAUAAUACUAAGGAUAGAUGCCAUAAUAGAACUCGCACAGGGUGGAAAGGCCACAGCCGUCGUGAACCCUGCAGAAAUUGAGAGACCAGGGGAUGACGGCUCGCUGAGACACCAUCUCUGUAUGUGUGGUUAGCUGAUAUGGCUGCCACGUACACUUUAAGAGUGGCUGGUAUUACUCCCUUGAAAAACGGUCUUGAAGAAACUCCAGUACUGAAGCGACAGGGCGGUAAGCUGGAUCCAUAUUACGAAGUCUACACCAGUUAGUAAACAGUUUCCAUUUGAAGGCAUUUAAACGUCUCGUAGAAACUGCCUUAGAAUGAAUUAUAGUCUCUGUGACCUCUACUGAAAGACCAGGACAUAUUAACUCACUCCGUUUAAAGGCCACACCCACAGCUUCCAUAGAUCUAGCCUUGGGUGCCAGAUCAUUCCCCAUGCAUGCGACAGCAAGUCCGGUCUGAGGGUAAUCUCCCACGGAGAACCCACUAACAAACUGAACAGUUCCACAAACCACGGCUGAGUGGCCCACCACAAAGCUACAACAAUAGCUGUUCCACUCUGUCAACCAUAUUCUGAAAAACACCACUGGAAUUAGCUGAAUCGGAGGAAAAAGCAUACAAAGUGGUUCUGGGCCAUUUGUUGGUUAGAGCGUCCAGUCCCAGGGGAGAUGGGGGGGAUAGGGAGAAACAUAGCGGGCAAUGCGCAGUCGUGCUCGACGCGAAUAAGUCCACUUCCGCCUCUCAAACGCUCGCCACAUCCAGCUCACCGUUUGGGGGUGAAACCUCCAUUCCUCUUCUUCCAGGCUCUGUCUCGAGAGCAAAUCCACUCCGAAGUUCAAACGUCCAGGGACGUGAACCGCUCGGAUCGACAGAAAUCUGUUCUGAGACCGCAGCAGGAUGUUCCUCGCCAGCCUGCAUAGGGGAACUCAAACUAACUUUGGAGUUAAGGACACAGAAGCCUGCUUGUGUGAGGAAGAGGUGAUUUUAUCAGCUUCUUUGGAAGAGAGGGAAAGACCGUUUAAGAACUCAAACCAACUUUGGAGUUGUCUGAUUUGGAGAGUCAUCAUUCUUGGUCUUCUCUCUUAAAGGAAUAGUUCACGCAAAAAAAUCAUUUACUUGCCCUUAUGUCAUUCCAAACCUAUAAGACUUUUGUCUGUCUUUACAACACAAAUGAAUAUAUUUUUCAUUUUCUCAUAAUUUUUAGUUAAUCCAUUAAGAGUCUAGAUAAUGAGUUAUUGUAAAAGUAAUCCAUUCGGAUAUUUAUAUAUAAAUAAAUCUUAAAUUAUAUGAUAGCGAACAUAUAUGUUCAAAAGAAAAUAUUGGUCUCCCAGACUAGCAAUGGAGGACAAAAAUUAAGAGAAUAUUAAAUAUAUUUAUUUGUGUUCCAAAAAUUAGCAGAGUUUGUAUGGUUCUGGAACAACAUGGGGGAGAGUAAAUUAUGACCAUUUUAAUUUUUUUGUGGACUAACCCUUUGAAGAGCAGCCCUCCAGUACAUGAGAAUUUGUAUGUCAUGUCUGUUUUAAUAUUUCAGUAAAGAAUUCGCUUUCUGAAAGCAAUAUAUUUAUUCAAACAAUAUCACAUGCGCCGUUUUAGACAGAGACAUUAAACAACCACACAAAGUGGUUGAAAUUAUAAAACAGAUUAUUUACCCAUCCUUACUGGUGUGAAUACAACUCUAUCUGAAAAUGGAUAGAGUUUAAUUUAAUGUUUCCUUUUUCAAAUGUGUUUCUCUUUUUAGGCCACUGAUGAAGAACAGGCGGUGACUGGGAUUUGUAGGUUUAAUGCCUAGCUCAAUUUGGGUUCAUUUGAGCCUAUUGCAAUGUAGUAAUUUUAAACCAUAAAAAAGAAACCCAGCAUGCUGGGUUAAACAUAAUAACCCAACUAGUUGGGUUAAAAUAACCCAGCGUUGGGUUUGUCCCUUUUUGACCAAGCGCUAGGUUGCCAAAAUAACCCAAAUUGGGUUGUUUUCAACCCAGCAGUUAGAGUGUAAUUUACGAAAAGUCUCUUAUUUCUCAUAAUAUUUUACAUUUUACAGUGGUAACAGUACAUAUACAUAUUACGGAAAAUUUAUUUUUCAGUAUAACCUUUUAAAGUAAUUAUAAAUUAAAUAUUUAAAUUAUUAAAUUAUAAUUACUUGAUAUGAAGAAUUAGUAGCAAGUCCAUAAGAACAAGUAGUAAUCAUGAAAAUAUAAAGCUAAAUUCUAUAAAAUCUAUUAAAUAUUUAAUGAAUAAAAAUGAUAUUUUAGGCAUAGAACAAAAUACAUAAUGAUAUGAGAAGUGUAUACCAUAGAGUUUUUUUUUUUUUUUUAAAUUUGCACUUUUCGAAGCUGUUGUAAGCUGUAUAAAAAACACAAGGUGGCUGAAUUUGCAUGCUAUUUAGACACAUUAGCUGAAGCUUAUAGACGUUCAUUAUUUUCACUUAAUUUAAUUAGUUUUUAGCAGCCCCUCUGAACUGUUAAGCCCCUCCUUAGCACCCUGAAAAAAAAAAAUCCUGGAGCCGCCACUGUUAAGUGCGAUAGUCAGCAUUCAAAUAAAUUUGAUCGUGAAUAAAUGUUACAUGUGCAUAAUUUAAAAUAGGCCUACAAGAAAACAUUUUUAUGCAUCCUAGUCAUGUAAGUCCAUUAACUUUGCAACAUUCGAUCUCUUUACUUAACGUUCUGAAUACUUUUGUAAAUAAUAGCCUAUUGUAAAUGCUCGACAUGAAAAUGCUACCAUGUCAUUCCAUGUUUGUUUUCAUAGUCUUGUUUCAGUUUAUAGUUUUCAUAGUCUUGUUUCAGUUUACAGUUUUCAUAGUCUUGUUUAAGUUUAUAGUUUUCAUAGUCUUGUUUCAGUUUAUAGUUUUUCAUAGUUUUGUCUUUUUCUUGCUUUGCCCUGUUACUCGUGUUUUGACCCUUUGCUCUGAAUUCUGGAUUACCUCUCUUGCUUAGCCC
ensembl:lncRNA